AAACUUACCUAGUCAGUGGAGACAUACCAGGAACAUGAAGCUGCUUUCCCCAAAGCUAAGUUAUACACUGUACUCCAGAUGUGCUGACUCCUAUGAUCCCCUCAAGUAUGGGAAACCCCACUGCAUAAUUCGUGAAAGUGAGGGAAAUGCAUUUGCUUUCUCCCA
rnacentral:snRNA from 1 species